rnacentral:rRNA from 1 species
AUUGAACGCUGGCGGCAUGCCUAACACAUGCAAGUCGAGCGGAUGAAGGGAGUUUGCUUCUGGAUUCAGCGGCGGACGGGUGAGUAAUGAAUAGGAAUCUGACUGGCAGUGGGGGAUAACGUCAGGAAACGGGAGCAAAUAUAGCAUACGUUAUGAGGGUGAAAGAGGGGGAUCUUGGGAGAUAAAGGCAUUAGCUGAGCCUAGGUCUGAUUGGUCGGUUGGUGGGGUAAAGGCCUACCAAGGCGACGAACCGUAACUGGUCUGAGAGGAUGACCAGUCACACUGGAACUGGGACACGCUCCAGACUCCUACGGGAGGCGCCAGUGGGGAAUAUUGGACAAUGGGCGAAGGCCUAAUCCAGCCAUGCCGCGUGUGUGAGGAAGGUCUUCGGAUUGAAAAGCACGUUAGGUUGGGAGAAAGUUCAGUAAGUUGAUACCUUGCUGUUUUGACGUUACCUACAGAGUAAGCACCGGCUAACUUCGUG